rnacentral:rRNA from 1 species
GAUGAACGCUGGCGGCGUGCCUAAUACAUGCAAGUCGAACGAGGUGCUUUUGUAGCAAUACGAGAGUAUCCUAGUGGCGAACGGGUGAGUAACGCGUGGAUGACCUGCUCCAAAGUGUGGGAUAACAGUCCGAAAGGAUUGCUAAUACCUCAUGUGGUUAUCGGUUUUAGAAAGCGAUAACUAAAGCAGCAAUGCGCUUUGGGAGGGAUCUGCGUCCCAUCAGCUAGUUGGUGAGGUAACGGCUUACCAAGGCGACGACGGGUAGGGGACCUGAGAGGGUGGCCCCCCACAAUGGAACUGAAACACGGUCCAUACACCUACGGGUGGCAGCAGUAGGGAAUAUUGCUCAAUGGGCGAAAGCCUGAAGCAGCAACGCCGCGUGUGCGAUGAAGGCCUUGGUCGUAAGCACUUUCUAAGAGAUGAGAAAGGACAGUAUCUUAGGAAUAAGUCUCGGCUAACUACGUGCCAGCAGCCGCGGUAAAGUCGAUAUCGC